AAAGGCACCUGGCAUCUUUGUGAUGCCAUACAGGGAAGUCACAGGCCAGUACCUGAGGGUCUGA
rfam:Pan troglodytes isolate Yerkes chimp pedigree #C0471 (Clint) chromosome 12, whole genome shotgun sequence.